rnacentral:rRNA from 1 species
AUUGAACGCUGGCGGCAUGCCUUACACAUGCAAGUCGAACGGCAGCACGGGAGCAAUCCUGGUGGCGAGUGGCGAACGGGUGAGUAACAUAUCGGAACGUGCCCAGUCGUGGGGGAUAACGCAGCGAAAGCUGUGCUAAUACCGCAUACGAUCUACGGAUGAAAGCGGGGGAUCGCAAGACCUCGCGCGAUUGGAGCGGCCGAUAUCAGAUUAGCUAGUUGGUUAGGUAAAGGCUCACCAAGGCGACGAUCUGUAGCUGGUCUGAGAGGACGACCAGCCACACUGGAACUGAGACACGGUCCAGACUCCUACGGGAGGCAGCAGUGGGGAAUUUUGGACAAUGGGCGAAAGCCUGAUCCAGCAAUGCCGCGUGCAGGAUGAAGGCCUUCGGGUUGUAAACUGCUUUUGUACGGAACGAAACGGUGAGCUCUAAUACAGUUUGCUAAUGACGGUACCGUAAGAAUAAGCACCGGCUAACUACGUGCCAGCCGCCGCUGUAA